rnacentral:rRNA from 1 species
UACGGAGGGGGCUAGCGUUGUUCGGAAUUACUGGGCGUAAAGCGCGCGUAGGCGGGCGCUUAAGUCGGGGGUGAAAUCCCGGGGCUCAACCCCGGAACUGCCUUCGAUACUGGGUGCCUUGAGGACGGGAGAGGUGAGUGGAAUGGCGAGUGUAGAGGUGAAAUUCGUAGAUAUUCGCCGGAACACCAGUGGCGAAGGCGGCUCACUGGCCCGUUACUGACGCUGAGGUGCGAAAGCGUGGGGAGCAAAC